UUUGGAGGAAUUAUAGAACUACAA
rnacentral:siRNA from 1 species